UACCAGCACCCCGAGUGGUCGGGACGAUUAUUGGGCCUAAAGCAUCCGUAGCCGGUCCUGCAAGUCUUCCGUUAAAUCCAGCUGCUCAACAGAUGGGCUGCGGGAGAUACUACAGGGCUAGGAGGCGGGAGAGGCAAGCGGUACUUUAUGGGUAGGGGUAAAAUCCGUUGAUCCAUAGAAGACCACCAGUGGCGAAGGCGGCUUGCCAGAACGCGCUCGACGGUGAGGGAUGAAAGCGUGGGGGAGCAAACCGGG
rnacentral:rRNA from 1 species